UAUACUUGUGCCAUGUUGCUAUGCUGCACCCAUCAACUCGUCAGCACCCAUCAACUCGUCAUUUACUGUUUUUUUGUUUGUUUGUUUUCUCCCCAAAUCUGAAGUCUCCAGCCCCAACUUCGCCCGUGUUCGGUCCAAAGGAUGGACGUAGCUUCUCCAAACACAGACAAACAAGGCCAGGGCCGCCCAAGCAUCCUGCACACAUUCUCGGAGGGACGUGAGUAACCAGCUUUUCUUCCACAGAUCAGGCAUCAAGCUUGGCUCUGAGUCACUGAGGGCUGAGAGGCCAUUACAAAGCCAAAUACACGUGAAUGCUACUGGAAUGUUCUCCCCAAGCUCAACGUGGCUGCUUGCACUAGGCCCACAGGGUCAGACAAGCAACUUCGACAGACACCCAGAUGCCUGCGAAUGCAAGCAAACUACUCCUAGCGAGGGGAACCACAUACCGACCAGCCAGCUCACUCAAGAAAAGGUAUGAGCGAAAAUACUGGCAUUGGGCGGAAAUGAAGAAAUUGUUACAGAAAACCUGGACGGCCUCACCAAGGGGAAAAGGAAGGAUAACGUGAGAGAAUCCAACAACAGAAAGGAAGGACGCACCUCUCCUUUGGGCAGGAUUUUCUGUUCAUCUAGCUUGAAAGCUGUUCCUAUUCUUCUCCGAACAAUGGGUGGUUCCUCCCCUGGAUCCAGGGGAUAUUCAACUGGCAGCUUGCCCGUGAGCUCCUGCAUAUGUGACAUGGCAUUCGGAGUGAGCAUAAAUCAGAGUAGGGUGGGUCGGUUUUCUAGAACACACACACAAACACACACACACACGCUCAUACGCACACACAAAUGCAUGCAUACACUUUGAUACAGGUCAACGCCUAUGCUAGAAACGUUCACAUUAAGCACUUUGCCUAAAUAAGAUUUCCAGAAAUGAAAUUCCAUUUCUCUAACCAUGUCUCUUAUGUAGAAUAGUUGCACUUCCGAAGUUUUUUCCAAAGUAAAUUUUUGUGAAGUAAACAUAAUUGCCAUUUUGGCUUUCAUGAUAAAACUUGAAUUGCAUUCAUUCGUUAAUUGAACAAAUAUUUCCUGCCUGCCUCCUCUGCACCAGGCAAGGUCACCCAGCCAGUGAGGAGCAGCGUCAUCGUGAGUUCUCGGGUCUCUCUAACUCCAAAUCCCGUGCUCUUGACACUGCGUCAAAUACCUAAGGUUAAAGUUUCCUUCAAAUGAAUUUUCACAAGAGGAGUGGUAUCUACAUGGCAAAUCCCAGAAAAGUGCAUAUAUAAAUGAUUGAGAAACCAAGUAAGGGUAGUAAUCUACUCUGGCCAGAUGCUACAGGCAUAGGCUGUGCGUAAAAGACAUUCAAUUGCUUGGUUUAAAAGUUUUAGUAGAAUGGCCGGGCAUGGUAGCUCAUGUCUGUAAUCCUAGCACUUUGGGAGGCCGAGGUGGGCAGAUCUUUUGAGAUCAGGAGUUUGAGAUCAGCCUGGCCAAUGUGGUGAAACUCUGUUUCUACUAAAAGUACAAAAAUUAGCUGGGCGUGGUGGUGAGCACCUGUAAUCCCAGCUACCCGGGAGGCUGAGGCAGAAGAAUCGCUUGAACCCGGGAGGCAGAGGUUGCAGUGAGCUGAGAUCAUGCCACUGCACUCCAGCCUGGGCAACAGAUAGAGACUGUUUAUUACAAAAAAAAAGUAUAGUAGAAAUUGAACAUAUAAUCCAAGUCAUUGACAAGGCUACUAAAAAAACACCUGUUUUGUAUAUUUUGGGCCCUGGAAAUCUAACUGUUGUGGGUACAAGGACGGUGAAUUUAGUUGACAGACUUUCAUGGUGACAGUGAUCCUGAUGAAAGGCUAAGGAUCUGGGGGUGAUUUCAAGAUUAGAAUCAGGCUCUCUGUGCGUGAGUUGUAUCAGGGCUGAACAAUGAUCAGAGUCAGCGGCGGCCCCGCGCUGCAGAGGCCAGGCAUCAAAUGCAAGAAGUCACUUCCAGGGACCAGAAAAAGCUGUGGGACCAACUGUGCAUCUGUCGCCAGUGGCACAGUGGGCACUUCCAGGCCAAGCCCAGCUCUGGCUUUCUAGCCCAAAUUAGCGCAGAACCUGCACAAAGACUCAAGGCGCUGCUCUGACAAGAAAGUUCAGAAGGCUCUUCUCAGGAAUAUCCAUCAUCCACACAGAAAGGUUUUGCGCAGGGCAGCCCAGGGCUGAGUGCCCAGCAGGCAGGAAAAUCCAAAUCAUGAGAGUGAUUCUGGCCCCUCUUCCCCAACUGCUGUGUGCUGAGUGUGCAUGUGUGCACGCGUGUGUACGUGUGUGCGUACGUAUGUGUGUGCAUGUGACAUGAGCAUAAGCACGCAUACUCCCUCACUCGCCUGCUUCUCCCUCGCUGUGUUCAGAUCACCGGGAAAUGAACCCGUGGGCUAUAUAUUCCUCACUGUAAGCAUUUCAGAGCACAAUGGCCAACUAUUUGAGUAUCAAACUCUGCAAUUUUCUUCCCUGCUUUUCUUCUUUAAAAAAAAAAAAAAAUGUGGUUCAAAUGUCUCCAAAGUAGUUAAGUGUUUAUCCUGCAACUUUUU